GUCGAGUCGUGCUCCUCUCCCCGGUUCGGUUAAACACAGCACUGCAUAAUAUUAUAAUAUUUAUCCGUACCCAUACAUAUACACGUAUAUACAUUACCAUGAAGUCUCUGAUGUAAGACGGUGCCGUGCACCCUCGACAUCGAGGAGGGGCAUCCGAAUCGCAGCAGCUCAUCACACCAGGAACAUUGGAAAACGAGGAGACAGGCCGCGGUCCACGACAUGACGACCAAUCCAUCGGCUUCCGGGAUCG